rnacentral:rRNA from 1 species
CGCUGGCGGCGUGCUUAACACAUGCAAGUCGAGCGAAGUUAUUCCUUUGGGAAUAACUUAGCGGCGGACGGGUGAGUAACACGUGGGUAACCUGCCUCAUAGAGGGGGAUAGCCUUCCGAAAGGAAGAUUAAUACCCCAUAACAUAGCAUUAUCGCAUGAUAAAGUUAUUAAAGGAGUAAUCCGCUAUGAGAUGGACCCGCGGCGCAUUAGCUAGUUGGUGAGGUAACGGCUCACCAAGGCCACGAUGCGUAGCCGACCUGAGAGGGUGAUCGGCCACUGGGACUGAGACACGGCCCAGACUCCUACGGGAGGCAGCAGUGGGGGAUAUUGCACAAUGGAGGAAACUCUGAUGCAGCAACGCCGCGUGAGGGAAGACGGUUUUCGGAUUGUAAACCUCUGUCCUUGGUGAAGAUAAUGACGGUAGCCAAGGAGGAAGCUCCGGCUAACUACGUGCCAGCAGCCGCGGUAAUACGUAGGGAGCAAGCGUUGUCCGGAUUUACUGGGUGUAAAGGGUGCGUAGGCGGCACUGCAAGUCAGGCGUGAAAGCCGGAGGCUUAACCUCCGAACUGCGUUUGAAACUGUGGUGCUUGAGUGAAGUAGAGUAGG